rnacentral:rRNA from 1 species
CCUACGGGAGGCAGCAGUGGGGAAUAUUGGGCAAUGGAGGAAACUCUGACCCAGCGACGCCGCGUGCGGGAUGAAGGCCUUCGGGUUGUAAACCGCUUUCAGUAGGGAAGAAGCGAAAGUGACGGUACCUACAAAAGAAGCACCGGCUAACUAUGUGCCAGCAGCCGCGGUAAUACAUAGGGUGCAAGCGUUGUCCGGAAUUAUUGGGCGUAAAGAGCUCGUAGGUCGUUUGUUACGUCGGAUGUGAAAACCUGAGGCUCAACCUCAGGCCUGCAUUCGAUACGGGCAAACUAGAGUUUGGUAGGGGAGACUGGAAUUCCUGGUGUAGCGGUGGAAUGCGCAGAUAUCAGGAGGAACACCAAUGGCGAAGGCAGGUCUCUGGGCCAAUACUGACACUGAGGAGCGAAAGUCUGGGGAGCGAACAGGAUUAGAUACCCUGGUAGUCCAGACCGUAAACGGUGGGCACUAGUUGUGGGAACCUUCCACGGUUUCUGCGACGCNGCUACGCAUAGUGCCCGCCGUCGGGAGGUACGAGUCGCGAGAGUUAAACGUACGAAAGGAAGUUAGUAACGGUCGUGAGACGUGCCGAACGGACGACGACGAGGGAGGAGG